rnacentral:rRNA from 1 species
AAGACCUUGCGCUUUUGGAGCGGCCGAUGCCUGAUUAGCUUGUUGGUAAGGUAAAAGCUUACCAAGGCUUCGAUCAGUAGCUGGUCUGAGAGGACGGCCAGCCACACUGGGACUGAGACACGGCCCAGACUCCUACGGGAGGCAGCAGUGGGGAAUUUUGGACAAUGGGGGCAACCCUGAUCCAGCCAUGCCGCGUGAGUGAAGAAGGCCUUCGGGUUGUAAAGCUCUUUCAGCCGGAACGAAACGGUUACGGUUAAUACCCAUGACUACUGACGGUACCGGAAGAAGAAGCACCGGCUAACUACGUGCCAGCAGCCGCGGUAAUACGUAGGGUGCGAGCGUUAAUCGGAAUUACUGGGCGUAAAGCGUGCGCAGGUGGUUUUGUAAGUCAGAUGUGAAAGCCCCGGGCUCAACCUGGGAACU